rnacentral:lncRNA from 1 species
GGGGCAAAUAUAUUGAAAAGAAAUUAAAAGAUCGAAAUUGCAUUUACCUGAGCCAAUGAAUAAAUUGAUUUUCGAAACUUAGCGAACAUUGCAACCCUAUCUUGAAGAAAACAAGAUUCCGUCAACGAAACAAACCGCGCUGCAAUCUUCGAAGAGAAACGCAAGAAUUUGAAGAUGCCACACAAGUUUCGAAGAGAUGAUUUAGGGUUUGAAGAUGAUCGAGAGAUACUCAAAUCUUGAUUUUUAGGGUUUCUCUUCAGAACGCGUCUUUACUUUAACCUUUUCUUUUCCAAAAAUUGAAAUGAAAUUUCGG